rnacentral:rRNA from 1 species
GACGAACGCUGGCGGCGUGCCUAACACAUGCAAGUCGAACGCGCUCCAUUCGGUAGCAAUACUGAUGAAGAGCGAGUGGCGAACGGGUGAGUAGCACGUGAGCAACCUGCCCCCGAAGACUGGGACAACACCGGGAAACCGGUGCUAAUACCGGAUACCCCUGUCGGACCGCAUGGUCCAACAAGGAAAUGUUUUUUCGCUUCGGGAGGGGCUCGCGGCCUAUCAGCUUGUUGGUGGGGUAACGGCCCACCAAGGCAUCGACGGGUAGCU